GAAGUUUUCAGAGAUGAGAAUGUGCCUUCGGGAACCGUGAGACAGGUGCUGCAUGGCUGUCGUCAGCUCGUGUUGUGAAAUGUUGGGUUAAGUCCCGCAACGAGCGCAACCCUUAUCCUUUGUUGCCAGCGAUUCGGUCGGGAACUCAAAGGAGACUGCCAGUGAUAAACUGGAGGAAGGUGGGGAUGACGUCAAGUCAUCAUGGCCCUUACGACCAGGGCUACACACGUGCUACAAUGGCGCAUACAAAGAGAAGCGACCUCGCGAGAGCAAGCGGACCUCAUAAAGUGCGUCGUAGUCCGGAUUGGAGUCUGCAACUCGACUCCAUGAAGUCGGAAUCGCUAGUAAUCGUGGAUCAGAAUGCCACGGUGAAUACGUUCCCGGGCCUUGUACACACCGCCCGUCACACCAUGGGAGUGGGUUGCAAAAGAAGUAGGUAGCUUAACCUUCGGGAGGGCGCUUACCACUUUGUGAUUCAUGACUGGGGUGAAGUCGUAACAAGGUAACCGUAGGGGAACCUGCGGUUGGAUCACCUCCUUACCU
rnacentral:rRNA from 1 species